CUUUUUGUACACUGCCCACAUACCCAACAGGUUUGGUUGCUCUUCAAAGCCUGGACGAAUGCAUAAUUCAUCACCCCCGGUGCUUCUUUCACAUCCACGGAGGACUGGUGGCUUCGGGCUAGGGCGGCAAUCCCGAAGGCGGUCAGGAGGAAUUUUGAUACGGUGAUCAUCCUGCUGCACUGGAGGGUGUGGAAGGAGAACGCCAGGAUCUUUGAGCACAUUUCCAGCCCACCUGACCGGGUUCUGGACCGGAUCAAGGAAGACGUGGCUAUGUGGCGAGCCGCGGGAUGCAUUGCUGAUCUUCCGGCUUAG
rnacentral:rRNA from 1 species